rnacentral:SRP_RNA from 1 species
GCUGGGCGCGUGCCUGUAGUCCCAGCUACUCCGGAGGCUGAGGCGGGAGGAUCAUUUGAGCCCAGGAGUUCUGGGCUGUAGUGCGCUAUCCAGAUCGGGUGUCCGCACUAAGUUCAGCAUCAAUAUGGUGACCUCCCGGGAGCAGGGGACCACCAGGUUGCCUAAGUGGGGGUGAACUGGCCCAGGUUGGAAACGAAGCAGGUCAAAACUCUCGUGCUGAUCAGUAGUGGGAUUGCGCCUGUGAACAGCCACUGCACUCCAGCCUGGGCAACAUAGCGAGACCCCGUCUCU